CAGGAAGGAGGAAGGAAUUCUUCUUUCCAUGACGUCACGAGUCAAGAACUGGCUCAGAUUGAGAAGAAUGCAAGUCCUAACCAAGUGAUUGGUCAACUCCGAGACCGACUCCAAGGGCUCCAGAAACGUCGAGAGACUUCUCCUGUGUCCAAGUGUGAACUAUGUCAGG